UUCAAUCCGAUAAGUAGGAACCUUAUUCGACAUAGCGAAGGGAUGGCGGGGGGAGGGAGGAGGGUGGAAAAAUAGGAGAAGAGUACAAGUUGUGAUACGUAGAAUGCGGGAAGAAGAUCUAUGCGUUUACAUAGAUCGGUACGAGUCUCCCGGAGAAGAGAACCGUUCCGUUCCGUUCCUAUGGCCAAUUGGCACGGUUGACCCGUCAUUAGGAUCAAGGAUUUUCGUCGACGUGUCAACCUACCUCAGCCACCAGCAGCCUACUCCUAUAUAACAGCAUUGCGAAAGAGGGACAAGACCCGGUUACCUACAUUCCCUAUACACCGGCUAUUGAAAAAGAUAAAUAAGAAGAAGAAGAAGAAGAAGAAGAAGAAGAAGAAGAAGAAGAAGAAGAUGCAGAAAAGAGAGGAAGCAGCUUUAGAAGGAAGGAAGAGCGAGAUGGAAGCAACCGGUUGACACAUAUAUGUGCCACGGUGAUUCCCCCACUAUCGAACUCCUUCCUCCCCCUCCACCUAUCCUCCUCUGCAUUCUAUCUACCAACACCAUCAUACACACAACACUACCACUGACAUACGCAGCGUGCAAUACGGCUUGCUCGUCUUGUGCACCGGGGCGCAAUGCACUCUCGGCGAGGCCUUGCACCGGCCAGGGAUUCUCAAUUCGUUCGUAUAUAUUUUCCCCUAGAAAUCCCGGAAAAAAAAACUGUACUCUUUUUCUCUCUCUCUUUUUUUUUUUUAUUUCCCUCUUGUUUUUUUCAAUUUUUUUUUCUUUUUUUUUUCUUUUUUUUUUUUUUAAUCCAUUUACAAAUUCAUUUCACUAUCGUUUAUGGCAACGAUCGAUUACGAUUUAACGUGUUUCGAAUAGAAAAUAAUUAAAAAAAAAGAAAAAGAAAAGAAAAAAGAAUAGAAUCGUCUGAUCAUUUUUUAUUUAUUUAUUUCUUUUUUUUUUUUUUUUUUUAUUAACUUCCUAAGUUUUGUUCUUCCCUCGUUAUUAUUAUUAUUAUUAUUAUUAUUAUUAUUAUUAUUAUUAUUAUUGUUAUUAUUAGUAUUAUUCUUUUUUGGAAAUGAAAGCGAGCGAAUGAACAGAAUGGCAGAGGCAAAAAUUAACAGCGACUAGCCCGCAGUUAACCAUGGCUAGCUAAACUUCUUCUAAACUUCAAAACUCUCACCGUCUUUGCGAGUUUCACAAGUCGACGACGUUUGGCGCGCUCUUUCUGCUUGGCGUGCCUUGGUAUGCAAAUUGUAGGCCCCGAACGCCGCUAAAUGCACCGCCUCUCUAGGUCGUAUAUCUAAAUUACGUUAUAUUGCCCGUAGGUAAGACAUAAAUCGAAUCUCUUGCGAAAUAUAACGAUGAGUAUCGAAGCGAUUGCUAUCGUCUAAAUACUCAUAGGCCGAUCGAUACUUUAAUCGAACUUAGAAGAUCUCACUGAGAUAAUACUAACAAGAAAGGACGUACAUGCAUAAAUAUCUCCUUUAUUAAUUUAGCGAAAAUAAGGAAGGAUUAAAAAAAGAAAGACAUAGAGAGAGAGAAAAAGAGAUAGAUAGAUAGAUAGAUAGAGAGAGAGAGAGAAAAAAAAGAAAAUAAAAAGAAAAAGUUGUAUGUCGAAGCUCGAGGCCAUAAGAUUCCGAUCGGUCAAUAUCUUAUACGCUUUAUAACUACAUUUAAGACUCGUUUUAUCGGGAGGAAUUAAAAUAUCAAAAGGCAUCAUCUUUACCUCGAUGGAUAUAACUUGCAUUACUAAUUGCAUCUUAAUUACCGUCUCUACGGACGAUACGUUAUAACUACGGCCGUCUGGCGAAACGCUAUACGAUAUUAAUCUCGGAUGAAACGCGACAACCAUACAGUGGGAUUAGAAAGUGAGAUCUGAAAAUCUCAUAAAGCGACGUGACUAAUUUUCAUCUCGUUCAGUUUCUAUGUAUAAUAUAUGUAUCCUACGUAUAACGUAGCUCGGCGAUUACGUUUCUGCGACGACGACGACGACGACGACGACGACGACAACGACGAAGAAAAAGGAGGAGGAGAAGGAGAAGAAAAAGGAGGAGACUAGACGGUCGCUCACGUGGCAUGCGUUCGAUCGACUAUUAUGAAACGGCAAAUUCAAGUAGGAGCGGACGUCGAACUCUCUCGCUUCGUAGCUAUUACGAAAUCAGGAACUUUCGAGUUGGCGUCCACAUUUGCCGACGGCCAAGAUGAAUAUGUGUAUAAACGCCUCGCUCCCGAUUUCAAUACUGAUUCUUAGUUUGUUUUGAAGAUUUGACUUUGAGACAUUGUAUAUAUAUAUAUAUAUAUAUGUAUGUAUAUGUACGUACGUACGAUAUGUGUAUAUAAAUAUUCGUCGUAAAUUAUUGAUUUUUCUCGUGUCGAG